rnacentral:rRNA from 1 species
UACGUAGGGCGCAAGCGUUGUCCGGAAUUAUUGGGCGUAAAGAGCUCGUAGGCGGCUUGUCACGUCGGGUGUGAAAGCCCGGGGCUUAACCCCGGGUCUGCAUUCGAUACGGGCUAGCUAGAGUGUGGUAGGGGAGAUCGGAAUUCCUGGUGUAGCGGUGAAAUGCGCAGAUAUCAGGAGGAACACCGGUGGCGAAGGCGGAUCUCUGGGCCAUUACUGACACUGAGGAGCGAAAGCGUGGGGAGCAAACAGG